GGUUUUGUAGUGUAGUGGUUAUCACUCCAGAUUCUGAUUCUGGUAACCCCGGUUCGAGUCCGGGCAAGACCU
rnacentral:tRNA from 1 species